UACGUAGGGUGCAAGCGUUGUCCGGAAUUAUUGGGCGUAAAGAGCUCGUAGGCGGUCUGUCACGUCGGCUGUGGAAACCCGAGGCUCAACCUCGGGCCUGCAGUCGAUACGGGCAGACUAGAGUUCGGUAGGGGAGACUGGAAUUCCUGGUGUAGCGGUGAAAUGCGCAGAUAUCAGGAGGAACACCGGUGGCGAAGGCGGGUCUCUGGGCCGAAACUGACGCUGAGGAGCGAAAGCGUGGGGAGCGAACAGG
rnacentral:rRNA from 1 species